CCUACGGGUGGCAGCAGUGAGGAAUAUUGGUCAAUGGACGCGAGCCUGAACCAGCCAAGUAGCGUGAAGGAUGACUGCCCUAUGGGUUGUAAACUUCUUUUAUAAAGGAAUAAAGUGAGGCACGUGUGCCUUUUUGUAUGUACUUUAUGAAUAAGGAUCGGCUAACUCCGUGCCAGCAGCCGCGGUAAUACGGAGGAUCCGAGCGUUAUCCGGAUUUAUUGGGUUUAAAGGGAGCGUAGGUGGGUUGUUAAGUCAGUUGUGAAAGUUUGCGGCUCAACCGUAAAAGUGCAAUUGAUACUGGUGGUCUAGAGUACAGGUGAGGUAGGCGGAAUUCGUGGUGUAGCGGUGAAAUGCUUAGAUAUAACGAAGAACACCGAUGGCGAAGGCAGCUUACUAAACUGUAACUGACAUUGAGGCACGAAAGUGUGGGUAGCAAACAGGAUUAGAUACCCCUGUAGUC
rnacentral:rRNA from 1 species